GGAAAGGAAGAGGCGGAUGCACAGAGCAGUGCGGGCGGACCGGGAGGCGGCGGGAUCGAUGGCCCAGGCCCCGCCACCGGCACUCGCCUCCUCCCCCUUGCCCCAGUCCUCGGUAUAGGCUGCCGCCACCUCCCGAGCAGCGGGGAAAUGCGGAUGACACAGGAACACAGUCAUUAUUUUCUUGUUCGUACAUGGAAAUGGCUAAAACUGCAGUGUUCUUGAUUACCACAAGACAACCCUUUCCUUGGCUUCCCUAUCAUCUUAACCCUGAAGUACCACGUGAGACAGCAGUAUCCAGAAUAUGGAAGUCACUGUUAAGCUAAAUAACACCAUAAUCUAAACAAUUAAAAAUCUUCAGUCUCUGCUAUAAACUAAUCAGACUGGAUCAGUUAAAGAAAAUCUUAGGUGAAAUGUCUGUGGAGUUAUAAAUCAAAUCCACUGAAGUACCUGCAGAAACAAAUUCACUCCUUUUCAUGUAUUUGCUGCAUUUGCUUCACUUUGUACAAAAUCAUGCUUACCUCUUUUUAAAGGUGAGCACAAUUACCUGUUUUUCCUUUUAAAACCGUGUGCUAUC
rnacentral:lncRNA from 14 species